GGGUUGUGAGGUUAAGCGACUAAGCGUACACGGUGGAUGCCCUGGCAGUCAGAGGCGAUGAAGGACGUGCUAAUCUGCGAAAAGCGUCGGUAAGGUGAUAUGAACCGUUAUAACCGGCGAUGUCCGAAUGGGGAAACCCAGUGUGAUUCGUCACACUAUCGUUAACUGAAUACAUAGGUUAACGAGGCGAACCGGGGGAACUGAAACAUCUAAGUACCCCGAGGAAAAGAAAUCAACCGAGAUUCCCCCAGUAGCGGCGAGCGAACGGGGAGCAGCCCAGAGUCUGAAUCAGCUUGUGUGUUAGUGGAACGGUCUGGAAAGUCCGACGGUACAGGGUGAUAGUCCCGUACACCAAAAUGCACAGGUUGUGAACUCGAAGAGUAGGGCGGGACACGUGGUAUCCUGUCUGAAUAUGGGGGGACCAUCCUCCAAGGCUAAAUACUCCUGACUGACCGAUAGUGAACCAGUACCGUGAGGGAAAGGCGAAAAGAACCCCGGCGAGGGGAGUGAAAAAGAACCUGAAACCGUGUACGUACAAGCAGUGGGAGCACCUUCGGGUGUGACUGCGUACCUUUUGUAUAAUGGGUCAGCGACUUAUAUUCUGUAGCAAGGUUAACCGUAUAGGGGAGCCGCAGGGAAACCGAGUCUUAACUGGGCGUUAAGUUGCAGGGUAUAGACCCGAAACCCGGUGAUCUAGCCAUGGGCAGGUUGAAGGUUGGGUAACACUAACUGGAGGACCGAACCGACUAAUGUUGAAAAAUUAGCGGAUGACUUGUGGCUGGGGGUGAAAGGCCAAUCAAACCGGGAGAUAGCUGGUUCUCCCCGAAAGCUAUUUAGGUAGCGCCUCGUGAAUUCAUCUUCGGGGGUAGAGCACUGUUUCGGCUAGGGGGUCAUCCCGACUUACCAACCCGAUGCAAACUACGAAUACCGAAGAAUGUUAUCACGGGAGACACACGGCGGGUGCUAACGUCCGUCGUGAAGAGGGAAACAACCCAGACCGCCAGCUAAGGUCCCAAAGUCAUGGUUAAGUGGGAAACGAUGUGGGAAGGCACAGACAGCCAGGAUGUUGGCUUAGAAGCAGCCAUCAUUUAAAGAAAGCGUAAUAGCUCACUGGUCGAGUCGGCCUGCGCGGAAGAUGUAACGGGGCUAAACCAUGCACCGAAGCUGCGGCAGCGACACUAUGUGUUGUUGGGUAGGGGAGCGUUCUGUAAGCCUGCGAAGGUGACCUGUGAGGGUUGCUGGAGGUAUCAGAAGUGCGAAUGCUGACAUAAGUAACGAUAAAGCGGGUGAAAAGCCCGCUCGCCGGAAGACCAAGGGUUCCUGUCCAACGUUAAUCGGGGCAGGGUGAGUCGACCCCUAAGGCGAGGCCGAAAGGCGUAGUCGAUGGGAAACAGGUUAAUAUUCCUGUACUUGGUGUUACUGCGAAGGGGGGACGGAGAAGGCUAUGUUAGCCGGGCGACGGUUGUCCCGGUUUAAGCAUGUAGGCUGGUUAUCCAGGCAAAUCCGGAUAAUCAAGGCUGAGGUGUGAUGACGAGGCACUACGGUGCUGAAGUAACAAAUGCCCUGCUUCCAGGAAAAGCCUCUAAGCAUCAGGUAACAUCAAAUCGUACCCCAAACCGACACAGGUGGUCAGGUAGAGAAUACCAAGGCGCUUGAGAGAACUCGGGUGAAGGAACUAGGCAAAAUGGUGCCGUAACUUCGGGAGAAGGCACGCUGGUGUGUAGGUGAAGUCCCUGCGGAUGGAGCUGAGACCAGUCGAAGAUACCAGCUGGCUGCAACUGUUUAUUAAAAACACAGCACUGUGCAAACACGAAAGUGGACGUAUACGGUGUGACGCCUGCCCGGUGCCGGAAGGUUAAUUGAUGGGGUUAUCCGUAAGGAGAAGCUCUUGAUCGAAGCCCCGGUAAACGGCGGCCGUAACUAUAACGGUCCUAAGGUAGCGAAAUUCCUUGUCGGGUAAGUUCCGACCUGCACGAAUGGCGUAAUGAUGGCCAGGCUGUCUCCACCCGAGACUCAGUGAAAUUGAACUCGCUGUGAAGAUGCAGUGUACCCGCGGCAAGACGGAAAGACCCCGUGAACCUUUACUAUAGCUUGACACUGAACAUUGAGCCUUGAUGUGUAGGAUAGGUGGGAGGCUUUGAAGCGUGGACGCCAGUCUGCGUGGAGCCAACCUUGAAAUACCACCCUUUAAUGUUUGAUGUUCUAACGUUGGCCCCUGACCGGGGUUGCGGACAGUGUCUGGUGGGUAGUUUGACUGGGGCGGUCUCCUCCCAAAGCGUAACGGAGGAGCACGAAGGUUAGCUAAUCCUGGUCGGACAUCAGGAGGUUAGUGCAAUGGCAUAAGCUAGCUUGACUGCGAGCGUGACGGCGCGAGCAGGUGCGAAAGCAGGUCAUAGUGAUCCGGUGGUUCUGAAUGGAAGGGCCAUCGCUCAACGGAUAAAAGGUACUCCGGGGAUAACAGGCUGAUACCGCCCAAGAGUUCAUAUCGACGGCGGUGUUUGGCACCUCGAUGUCGGCUCAUCACAUCCUGGGGCUGAAGUAGGUCCCAAGGGUAUGGCUGUUCGCCAUUUAAAGUGGUACGCGAGCUGGGUUUAGAACGUCGUGAGACAGUUCGGUCCCUAUCUGCCGUGGGCGCUGGAGAAUUGAGGGGGGCUGCUCCUAGUACGAGAGGACCGGAGUGGACGCAUCACUGGUGUUCGGGUUGUCAUGCCAAUGGCACUGCCCGGUAGCUAAAUGCGGAAGAGAUAAGUGCUGAAAGCAUCUAAGCACGAAACUUGCCCCGAGAUGAGUUCUCCCUGAGACUUUAAGUCUCCUGAAGGAACGUUGAAGACGAUGACGUUGAUAGGCCGGGUGUGUAAGCGCAGCGAUGCGUUGAGCUAACCGGUACUAAUGAACCGUGAGGCUUAACCUUACAACGCCGAAG
rnacentral:rRNA from 1 species